UACGUAGGGUGCAAGCGUUAAUCGGAAUUACUGGGCGUAAAGCGUGCGCAGGCGGUUUUGUAAGCCAGAUGUGAAAGCCCCGGGCUCAACCUGGGAACUGCAUUUGUGACUGCAUGGCUGGAGUGCGGCAGAGGGGGAUGGAAUUCCGCGUGUAGCAGUGAAAUGCGCAGAUAUCGGGAAGAACACCCGUGGCGAAGGCGGUUCUCUGGGACGGUACUGACGCUGAGACGCGAAAGCGUGGGGAGCGAACAGG
rnacentral:rRNA from 1 species